ACUAGCAGUAAGAGUUUGAUCCUGGCUCAGAACGAACGCUGGCGGCAGGCUUAACACAUGCAAGUCGAACGCAUCCUUCGGGGUGAGUGGCAGACGGGUGAGUAACGCGUGGGAAUCUGCCCUUGGGUUCGGAACAACAGUUGGAAACGACUGCUAAUACCGGAUGAUGACUUCGGUCCAAAGAUUUAUCGCCCAAGGAUGAGCCCGCGUAGGAUUAGCUUGUUGGUGAGGUAAAAGCUCACCAAGGCGACGAUCCUUAGCUGGUCUGAGAGGAUGAUCAGCCACACUGGGACUGAGACACGGCCCAGACUCUUACGGGAGGCAGCAGUGGGGAAUAUUGGACAAUGGGCGAAAGCCUGAUCCAGCAAUGCCGCGUGAGUGAUGAAGGCCUUAGGGUUGUAAAGCUCUUUUACCCGGGAAGAUAAUGACUGUACCGGGAGAAUAAGCCCCGGCUAACUCCGUGCCAGCCGCCGCGGUAAUUC
rnacentral:rRNA from 1 species